rnacentral:snRNA from 1 species
GCACUUACCUGGACGGGGUCAACAGCUGAUCAAGAAGAGCUGUGGCCUAGAUCAAUGGCUCACAUUGCACCUUGUUAGAGUGUGUUGGCCUACCAUCUUCCUACGGGGAGAGUGGACGUCAUAAUUUGUGCUAGAGGGGGUACGUGUUCGCGCGGCCCCUGC